rnacentral:rRNA from 1 species
AGAGCGAACGCUGGCGGCAGGCCUAACACAUGCAAGUCGAGCGCGUGUAGCAAUACACGAGCGGCAGACGGGAGAGUAACACGUGGGAACGCGCCCUUCGGUUCGGAAUAACUCAGGGAAACUUGAGCUAAUACCGGAUACGCCCUUACGGGGAAAGAUUUAUUGCCGAAGGAACGGCCCGCGUCCGAUUAGCUAGUUGGUGAGGUAACGGCUCACCAAGGCGACGAUCGGUAGCUGGUCUGAGAGGAUGACCAGCCUCACUGGGACUGAGACACGGCCCAGACUCCUACGGGAGGCAGCAGUGGGGAAUAUUGGACAAUGGGCGCAAGCCUGAUCCAGCCAUGCCGCGUGGAUGAUGAAGGCCUUAGGGUUGUAAAGUCCUUUAACGGGGAAGAUAAUGACGGUACCCGUAGAAUAAGCCCGGCUAACUUCGUGCCAGCAGCCGC